UACGGGGGGGGCAAGCGUUGUUCGGAAUUACUGGGCGUAAAGGGCCAGUAGGCGGCCAACUAAGUCCGACGUGAAAUCCCCAGGCUUAACCUGGGAACUGCGUCGGAUACUGGAUGGCUUGAAUUCGGGAGAGGGAUGCAGAAUUCCAGGUGUAGCGGUGAAAUGUGUAGAGAUCGGGAGGAACACCGGUGGCGAAGGCGGGUCUCUGGGCAAUUCCUGACGCUGAGGCGCGAAAGCGUGGGGAGCAGACGGG
rnacentral:rRNA from 1 species